rnacentral:tRNA from 1 species
CAAAUUAUAACUUAAUAUAAAGUAUUUUAUUUACAUUAAAAAGAUAUAGUUUAAAUCUAUUAAUUUGA